AAGUCGUUUUGAGGACAAUUUCUUAUCAAACCCGUGUAUCUCUCCCAUGCCUCAUAGAGUGAUUAUUCUGGCAUCUGCUCGAAAUUGGCAAUAGCUUUCUUCAAUUU